UACGUAGGGUGCAAGCGUUGUCCGGAAUUAUUGGGCGUAAAGGGCGUGUAGGCGGUUUGUUAAGUCAUGUGUGAAAUCCCUCGGCUCAACCGGGGAACGACGCAUGAAACUGGCAAGCUAGAGUACCAAAGAGGGGGGUGGAAUUCCCGGUGUAGCGGUGAAAUGCGUAGAUAUCUGGAGGAACACCGGUGGCGAAAGCGGCUUACUGGAUCGAAUCUGACGCUGAGGUGCGAAAGCUAGGGUAGCAAACGGG
rnacentral:rRNA from 1 species